rnacentral:lncRNA from 1 species
CAGUCUCGGUUAAUUUUAUUAACGUUUUGCUGAGAAAGAGGAUGGGGUGUAUGCCACCUGAUGUGAUCAUUGAGCCCGUUGUAUUUAUAGAUGAGGAGGUCUACCAGUUUUUGGCUGUGGACGACACGUUCUGGAAUUCUCUACCCACUGCCUGCCAGGGUCUGGUGUUCAACUGUGGUGGGGCGAUUGACUGCCCCAAAGGCCCAUAAAGGCACAUGCUUUGUAGCUGGGUUACAUACAAUUUAAUGAGUGUUAAGAUGUCAGCUGUCUCCAUACCGUCUGGUUUACCUGUGCACACAUUCCGUGGUUACCUGGCAAGGAUGGAGUCUUCAGAGAGUGAACCAUUCGGCAGGUGAAAUUCAUGAGGGAAAAGGAAGGAAAGGACUGGAACAUGUGCCCCUUGAGACCAAGAGGGCGGGUGUUCCCGGAAAGCAGACGGGAAAUCCAUCCUUGUUCUUCUUCCACCAUCCAGCCAUCCUCUCCUGCACCGCAACGCAGGGCUGGUGCACAGUGUCCGCUACCUUGUGGCCGUGCCCGACCCUGAGAGCUCCUCCGGGAGACAGGCCUCCACGAGCUCCUUUUAUCCCCCUGUGCUAACUUCAACCACCAGGAGCCUUGUAGAGAACAGGCUUGUUGCUGUGUGAUGAAGUGGAGAAGGAGCGGUUCCUGUCAUCCUAUAUUUUCAGAAAGGAAUCCUAUUUGUCUCAACCACAAAUAUUUUCCAGUUCAACCUACAUUCCGUACAAGACCAAACGCCAAACUGACGUGGCUGAAUGAAAAUGACUCCACCCUCAAAGGUGCCAUAACUGCCAGUCCCUGGACCUGUUGGAAACAAACCAACAAACACAAAAGACGAUGACAACCCUAAUUUCACAUCCUAUCACAAAGUAGGAAGCUGUUAUUAUUAUCAAUUUUUGUAUUGAGUUACAUUAUCAACUUAAGAAAAGAUUUUUAAAAACCGUCUCACCUGAUCUUCAUUUGGCUAAAACUUCCAAACAGAGCUUUGCAUUUCUCUCUUUUCCCUUGUAUUUAGGAUUGCCAUUAAAAUCCCUUAAGCAAAUCACUAUUUAAGAGCUCCCUGUGGUCAAUC